rnacentral:rRNA from 1 species
GACGAACGCUGGCGGCGUGCUUAACACAUGCAAGUCGAACGGUGAAGCUCCAGCUUGCUGGAGUGGAACAGUGGCGAACGGGUGAGUAACACGUGAGCAACCUGCCCCAGACUCUGGAAUAAGCGCUGGAAACGGCGUCUAAUACUGGAUACGAGAUCAAGCCGCAUGGUUAUGGUCUGGAAAGUUUUUCGGUUUGGGAUGGGCUCGCGGCCUAUCAGCUUGUUGGUGAGGUAAUGGCUCACCAAGGCGACGACGGGUAGCCGGCCUGAGAGGGCGACCGGCCACACUGGGACUGAGACACGGCCCAGACUCCUACGGGAGGCAGCAGUGGGGAAUAUUGCACAAUGGGCGAAAGCCUGAUGCAGCGACGCCGCGUGAGGGAUGACGGCCUUCGGGUUGUAAACCUCUUUCAGCAGGGAAGAAGCGAAAGUGACGGUACCUGCAGAAGAAGCACCGGCUAACUACGUG